UGAUUCAAUUAGCUAUGGAUCUUAAGAUCCCAGCUUUAGGGCAGGCCCUGAGUGCAAUGGCUUGUGUCUUUAUAAAAGAGUGGAGAGGGGCAUCUGGAUGCAGACACGGGGAGAAGGCCACGUAAAGACACAGAGGCACAACGCUGCACACUGCAGACUACCAGUGGCCCCCAGAGGCUGGGAGACAGGCCCGGAGCAGAUCCUCCCUUGGCGCCUCCAGAAGGAGCCAACCCUGCCCGCAGCGGACCUCGGACUUCCGGCCUCCACCACUGUAAGACCACUAGACGUGUUGUAUGAAGCCCUCCAGAUUGUGGCAAGUUCGUUACAGGAGCCCCAGGAAACUGAUAGACUUGCUAACAUUCCAAACAAUUUACCAUGUUCAUUAUCUGCCUCCUCUUUCUAGAGGGUACCUUCUUACGAGGGGAGAGGUUUCUGCCUCUUUAUCCAGCAAGGGCUCCCAAGCUGCUACACACAGCCCACCACCUGGUGACAGAUCAGUGACAAUAGAGGGAUGAAUGCCAGCACACAGGCUGGGGGUCAGUCCGCCACACCCUGAACCCCGGCUCCACCAUCUACCAGUCGCGUGACUUUGGGCAGGUCCCCAGGCCUCUCUCAACCCAGAGUUCCUCUUCUGUGGGGUGCAAAUAAUAACAGCCACUCCCUCGUGGCGCUGUGACAAGGUGUGAACGCCUACAAAGGCUUACAGCGUGUCUGGUACACGGUAACCCCCCAAUGUUAGCCGUCAGAAAUGGAGUCACCCUAAAAUAAAUCAACAGUGGGUCCCGAUGGGGGCAAUUACCCCUCCCCCAAGGGGGGGGGGGGUGCGUGUUGGGGGACCUGUCACACCGGGUGGGAGGGGUGCUGCAGCAUCUAGCAGGCGGAGGGGUGGAGGCCAGGGAUGCUCUCCAGUCUCCUCCCAAAUGUCCACAGAGCCGGCUGAGAAGUCCGCAGAGGAGAGGAAGCAGGACUUUGACGCCGAGUAAAAGCGGGGACACUGAGUGACAAAUGUGGAGAGGCUGUGUUCCUAAGACGAGGCCAAGACCUGACCCAGUGGCUGCCCGGAGGUUCUACAGCCCGCAGGCAGGGGCGGUCUGACCCCCGCCUCCUCUGGAGGCACGAAGGCCACCACUAUUCCCGCCACCGUCCCACAACCAGUGGCACCAUCGGCGACAAGGACACGGUUUCCCAGGGCCACCCUUUAGAUACGAACUCCUCCCGCCUUCAACGCUGAGGCCCCGGCAGCCUCCGACCACGGGAGGUUUGCCGCCGCCCUGCUGGGCCCAGGUGGGGAGGACUCAUCGCCGGUGACGCACCGCAAGCCCCUCGCUCCCACUGCGCCACAGGCGGGACGAGUCUCUUUCCUCUCGUCCAGAGCGCUUCCAAAGCAGCAGGCACGGUGCCGGGGAGACGUCAGCGACCGCCUGCAGAAGAAGGGACCGUCUGUGGCGGACGGGCCUCCACGCCCGCCCCGUGCGCCCUGCACGGUCCACGGCUUGGGGAAGACACCCGCCAAGGCCGAGAACGGGUACGAGAGCAGGAAAGGAGCGUAGCGGGGCCGCGGACCUCAGCCCACAGAGGAGGCUGCUGGGCCGCCCGGGCCCCCCAUCAAAGCCUGAAGCCAAAAAGGAAACAAGAAAAAGAAAGCAAGGAAGCAAGAAAGAGAGUACGUUUCUGCCAGCUACCGGGAGAGCACAAGCAGCCAUCUGGGUUGGCCAAGGGGAGAAGGCCAGGAGCCAAGCACGCUGAGGCCAGGGCCCCCCUUCCGGGGCCCCUCGGACAGCCGGGCACCAGGUCGCCAGUGCCAGCCGGCCCCAGCGACGCGCCGGGCCCAAGGCCACACUAUGUGGGACUCACCCCGAGUCCUCGCAGGAGCCCAGGGAAGCUUCCCCCGUCUCCCAGGUGGAAGGGCUGGAGCCUCAGCCAGUCGGGGAGGCCGCCGGCCAGCACGUGGGACAGCACGGCGUGGCCCCUCCCUCCACGCUGCCGUCCGGCUGCCGGUCCCGAGCAAGCCCUGAGCGGAGCCCCCCUUCUUCCUCGUCCCCUUCCCCAUCACCUCCAUCACCUCCAUCCUCCCUCUGGUCUUCCGAACCCUGAACCGGUUCACGGCGCUGUGACCCUCCACCGUGGCCUCCGAGGCCGUCCCUCACCGACGCGACGCGGGGCUGACAUUAUGUGUCCCUUCCCCACUCCCACCGUUCACGCAGUGCGCCGAGCUGCUAACCAGAGAGAGUUCCAUCCCAUCACACACGGCAUGGACUAUUUAUAACCCCGGAAACAUCUUUAUUAUUAUUUCUCUCCCCCCGCGUCCCCCCUCCAGAAACAAUCUCACACGAUCCUGAGUGCACGCCGCCGUGGAGGGCUACGGGGCUGCGGGGCCGCGGGCCGGGGCGCUUCCUCCGGCCCUGCCCGGCGAGCAGAUGGCAGCGUGGGCGUUAGGUACCAGCCUCCUGGCAAUCGGAACAUCUGUUCCCGUUAGAAAAUGCUAAUUGCCAUCAAUCAGGACAGCACCUACCCACAUUUACAUGCAAGCACACGCAAAAAAAAAAAAAAAAAAAAAAAAAAAUACAUCUAAAUUUCUUCAAGCACAACACUCCCUGCAUGAUAAUUAGGCGGGUCUGUGCCUUCACCACACGAGGAGUAGCCAGGGGGGGCCAGCCCUCAUCCAGAAGGAUCCAACCUUGACCACCCCCAGCCUCUCCGGGACCUGCCCCUGGACCCACAUCGAGGAAAGAGGUUGAGGAAUCCCUCAGUGGGAGGCCGGGCUCCGGCCUCCCCCACAGCCUCUCGUCUGCCCGCCCCGGGGGUGGACACGGGGUCGCUGGCUCUGCACCGUGAGGGUCGGGUCACCCGAACAGAACUCCUGCAGGGAGCAGACACUCCUUUGAGCUCUGGGUUUGCAGGGGCUGGCAACCUCUCUCUGAGCCUCGCAGAAACAACCCGGCCAAAUCCUUCAGCCCAGGAGUCUGCUCCGUCUGCAAAUCUGAGGGGUGGUCCAGAAGUCUCCCUGCCCUAAGUGCUUGUGCGGAGAUGCUCUGCAGUUCUGGAAUGUUCCAGCCCCAGGUGCCCUUGUGUAGCAGGCCAGGGGUCGGGUGGGACCAUGCGCUGGUGGCUGUUCUCCGUCCCCUAGCCCUGGGUCCCUCGGGCCAGCACUGGGUUGAGACAUCGCGUACUUCCCCAGACCUCGGUGAUCUGGAACGCUCCUGGGAGACGGGGGAGAACUGCAGAGUGGUCUGCAGUGAUUCAAGAUGCUGAUGACAUACCACAGGUGACGCCCUGCCAGCAGCCUGAGGGCCCUCCACGCUUCCAGAAGGUAGGCUCAGAAUAUCAGCCUAUUCUGUAACAGGGAACGAGGAUUUUCCUGAAAGCCCUUCCACACGCCCACACGCACACCCCGAAGAAAGCAAGCGAAUUUGCUCAUUUUUCUCCUGGACACGGGUGCUGUUGCCAGCCGUGGCUGCUAUGAGGCCCAGGGACUGGUUUGAGGGGUCAGCUUGUCCUAACAAAAAGGGGUGUCUCGCGGCCGAUGAGUGAGGCCCAGGCUCCCUUUGCCUUGAGGAUCGACGUCACCAGGUGGGAAGGAGGGCCUCCGGGGCUCCAAGCUGGCAGGUGGGGUCACAACCCGUGUUGACCACAUCCCGACAGUGUAGAAACAGGGUCUGUGAACUGCGGCCCAGGCCCACCUUCACGCCGCAGGAGAGGUGUAUACAAGAUGCAUGGCGGGUCUGUUGUGGCAUGUGGUUAAGAGAGCCGUGGGUCACCCCUCUCCCCAUCUUUAGUUCCCCAAAGCAAGGUGUCUUCGUCAGAGGUCUCAGGUGAUGAACAGAAAACAAGGAGCUGGGCCCAUGGAGGGAAGAGACAGAGAAGGAGAGGCGGGAAAAUCUCACGCCGUGUUGCCAAUUUAUUUUUCUUUUAAGAAGACCACUGUGCUCAGGGCCUGAUAAAAACAGGGAAGAUGCUGGGGACACAGCCACAUGCUGUCUGUGAAGUGUGUCCCAGCUGGAUGCCGUGGCCAGCCUGCCUGGAAAAGGAAGGCUUGCAAACCCCACCAGGCAGCUCCCGCUCCUGGCUGUUCCCCAGCUGCGAAGGUGGGUGGUAGUACCUGUGCCCCACAUCGCUCCCCCCACCCAGGCUCCGUGGCGGCCAGUCGUCAGGAUCUAGUGGGACUUCAUCCAGAUCCGGCCCAUGCCAGGCUCUGUGUCCUGUGGGCCACUUUAACCGGGCUCAUUACUGUCUUUUCUCAAAUUUCAGUCUUUCUCUCCACUAAGGUCUUGGGAGUGCUCCUGGGUGGAGACCUUGAGCGGGGUCUCCAGAGUCUGUCCUCCCUCCCCCUGGCCUCCCCCAUCCUGUUCUCUGAGCCUCCAAUUUCUCCUGUAGCCCAGGCCCGGCUCUGCCCCGUCCGAAGCCGUCAUGGAGGCAUGGAAGUUGCACUUGGCCAGAAGGAGCAGCUGGACAGUCACCAGCUGUGGGAAGGCGGGGGAGGGGGGAACAGGAGCCCACAGAGAGGCAAUAAUGUGGGUGGGACAGCCAGGACACAGGCAGGGGGCAGGACAGGUUCUGGGGGGCGGGGGCCAGACCGUGGAAGUCAGAGUCAGAUGUCACAGGCCCCCCCCUCAGUCCCGACCGUCACUCCACAAGGUUCCUCUGGCAUAUUUCCACGUCCCUUCCUGGCCUUUCUCCUUCCUCUUCUCCUUUCCCACAUCUUAGCUUUCCCGCCCUCGUGCGUUUGCCGAGUCCUGAGAGCUGCCAUGAGCCUCAGCUCAGCAAAGAAACACAACUGUGAUCGUCUGCCCUGACCACCCCGAUAAGAUCAAGAACGGAUGAAGUUUUCAAAAUCAUCUUUGCAAUAUUAGUAAUAACGAGCAAUGAAAAUAAACAAAGACUUCCAGAGAGAAAAAGGGGAUGGGCAGACGGACAGACAGAUGAACAGACACCCACACACGCUGAACCGCGUAUCCUCAAAACUCACGUGUUCAAGCCCUAAGCCCCAGCAGCACCUCAGAAUGUGACCAUAUCUGGAGAUGGGGCUUUUAGAGGUCAUUACAUUAACCCACCCGUGGCUGGUGUUCUUUUGGAAGAGGAGAUCAGGACACAGACACGCACAGGGGGACGACCCUGUGAGGACACAGGGAGAAGGUGGCCGGCUGCGAGCCCAGAACAGAGACCUCGGGAGAGACCGCCCCGGCCACCACCUGGAUCCUGGACAUACAGCCCCCAGAACUGCGAGGCCACCCAGCCUGUGGUCUUUGUUACGGCAGCCUCAGCACAGUAGAGUCCCCCGCACAUCCGACGUCACCGAGGCACGUUCUCGAGGCAGGACCUUGCUCUGGGUGUGCUGGCCCAUGUCACAGCCUAUUUGAGAUGUGAUGGGUACCCUCUCCAGUCAGGCCUGCUCAAAGCACCUGUGGAGAAGGGCUCUGUACGUAAGGAACGUAGAUCCCAUACGAAAGGGAUUACUGGGAAACACAGAAUAAAAAAGACAAGAUACAAAGCCCAAUUUCUCACGAAUGGAUCCACAAGCUAUGAAGUCACUCUCAUAAACGACUCUCCGUGCUUAUUCCCAGGCCCUGCCCUCAUCUUCCGGGGACCAGGGGCAGUGGCUCAAGGGCAGGCUCUGUCCAUAGACCUCACCUUGAGUAGCUCUCUGAUUUGUAAAUUUUUUUCAACGUUUAUUUUUGAGAGACAGACAGAGACAGAGUGCCAGUGGGGGAGGGGCAGAGAGAAAGAGAGACACAGAAUCCC